rnacentral:misc_RNA from 1 species
CUAAAAUGACAAAUUAUGUAUUAAUGAUCUGUUUCAGAAUUUAAGUACAAUUUUUUAUAGAAACAAUAAUAUACAAUUAUUUUAAAAAUCAAAAACUGCACAAAAACCAAACAAUCGAUAACCUAAUUGAACCGAAACCUAAAAAACAAAGUAGCAAACUAUAACCAUAUCAAAAUUUCGGUUAUAUUUUAAUGUCUAAACAUACCCCGAAUCGAAAUCGAAACCGCACAUCCUACCAGCCACCUGACAAGUUAAUAUCUUGCACAUUGAAAAUGUCAUUUAUAGAAGCAAAUUUAUUGGUAAAAUGAAGGGGAAAAAAAGGAGAAACAAUAUUUUUCAUAAUAUUUCUUUAUGGAAGAAAAAUCUCUUAAACGUGCAAAAUAAAAUCUUCUUAGGAUGAAGUCGUUUAAUUUUCUGUUCUAUUGUCCUAUGAAAAUUGCUGAGGGCGCGCUGAAAACAUAAGGCUUAUUAAAACACAGGAAAUACCAUAUUCUAUGGAUUAAUAUUAAGAACACUCAUUUCCAUUCCUUUUGAAGGAAGCUAACCAUUAAAAUCACAGGAUGAAUGUACAGUUCGAAGUAUCAACCCAUGAUGUAACUGUCAAAUUCGAUCAAAUAUUUGAAUCAACAACUGAUUCAAAAACAGACUGAGAAGAGUACCAAAACCUAGCACAGCAUCAUAUUGAUAUUACCUCAGGUUUGGUUAAUCCCAGGCUAAAACAUAGACAUAUCUGGGGGUGGUCCAUAUACUGUCUUCCAUGAAAAUGGGGUUAGCCAUUUAACACCCUCAUCACCAUGGAAAUUAUCUGGAGACAGCCCCAAGAGUUUGCAUGCAGCCUCAGCCACAUGAAAAGCAUCAGGCAUGUUGUCCCCUUCAGAGCAGUAACAUAAUAAGCAAGUAACUUUUAAACCUUUUGCCUUAAAACAAGAAAAGAGAGCGGCAAAAGGCAAACUUGGAUAGUAAUCUUCUUCUCCUAGUUCAUCUUCAAAAGGCAAUCUGUUUUCUUCCAAUGCAUUUCCUUCAGCUAAAGCACUAAGAUAUUUCCAAGACCUCUGUGCAGGAUUAUAUUCCUGCAAUCUCUUCCAGCCGAGUUGUUCACAAUACUCAUCUGUUCCAUCAUUAUUGGUACUAGAUAGAUAAUAUGUCUGUAAACCACUUGACAUAUCAAUUCUUUGCCAUCUCCCAAAGUCUAAGCCAGAAAGCACAACAAUGUGUUUCUUUCCGCUAGCAACUGCAAAAUCUGCCAAGUUCUUAGCAAAUUCAAUCAUCAUCCCCUGAACAACGGGGGAUCGCUGUUGAAUAAGAGUCAGUGCACUUGCAGGUGAGUCAUAUGCUUCAAGAGGCAGAGCAAGGUCGCCGCAAGGAAUGGGUCCAUAGGCAUCGUUUCCAACGCAAGGAAGAAUGUAGGGAUCGUCCAAAUACCCAAUCCUCUCCGCCUUCGUCGAAGAUACCAAGAGAUCAAUAGCUAGCUGCCCCACAUUCCCUAUCGAUAACGCAGGCAGUAGAAAAGUAGAGCAAUCUUGAUGUAGUUGCUUGCCUUGUUCGAUUAAAAAUUCCAUUUUUUUUGCAAUUAAAUUCGAUUUUCUAUAAGCAAUUAUUCAAAUCACAGCCCCCUCAGUUCCAU